AAAGUCGUAACAAGGUAACCGUAGGUGAACCUGCGGUUGGAUCAUUAAUAAUCGAUGGAAAAGGAUUGCCUUCGGGCAAGUUGAUAAAGAAAAACCUUUUUGUGAACCGUUCUGUCUCUGGUGGCGGGAUGGAAACUAACUUUGUUUAGCUUCUGUCUGUCAGCUUGAGCAAUCAAGCCGUGGACAAACCACCAACCAUUCUAACCCAUUGUUUAUUAUUUUGUCUAAUAUUACUUUGUAUAAAUAUACAAACAACUUUUGGCAACGGAUCUCUUGGCUCUC
rnacentral:misc_RNA from 1 species